UGGAGCAACGAGCGGCUGCUCGUGAGUCUGUGGUUCGCACACCGGGGCGCUCACCCUCGCCGCGCGAACACUCGACGAGGGUGGGGAUAAUUGAAGAUAAGAAAGAAAACACAACCAACCAUGAGUGAAAAACUGCAAGGCUGAAGGAGAGAAAGAAAUGGGACACCAAGCAACAGGAGGCUGUGAGUGUCGAUAUAGUUGUGAUGCAGAACCAAGAGACUCACAAUGUUCGCAGCUGAUGGAAUGCUUUUCAAAACUUUUGGACAAACCUUUUUCAUUCAUUGAGAAAUCAGAGGAACACUGUCCCUAAC